rnacentral:lncRNA from 1 species
CGCCAGAUUUGGGGCGGGUGCCCCAAUUCAGCAGCCCACUUCUUGGUCCGUAACUUUUGACUCGCGCAUCCGAUUGCUUCGCCGUUUUUUUUCAAUGAAAGCUAUGAAUCUCCUCUUCGUUCUCCUCCAAAGAAACCUACACAACAUCACACUAAAACAUAUCAAAAACAUCAAAAGCUUGAGGCCAGAUCAUCCAUUUAAGUCAAAACGAAGGCUUCCAAGUGGAUAUAAAAUCCACUUAUCACACCCCCAAACUUAAACCGAUGCUUGUCCUCAAGCAUAGACACACACACAAAUACUAAUAAUGCAAUGCAUGAAUGCAACUAAAUGCGGAUAUAAAAUCCACUUAUCAUAUUUGUUCAAAUUGAUAUAUGUACAUGUAUCGUCUUUGCUAAAACAAGUUUGAGCUAUCGGUCCAUAUUAAUCUUUAUCAUUGAAUCAAACCCUUGAAAAUCCGGCAGAUCUAACGUCCUCGACAUUUAAUCAUACCAAAACAAACCAAAAAACACACCAAACUCUCACAAGGAGUAAAUAAACAAAACGCAAAUAUAUUGGGAAAACUCACCCAAAGAUUAAUUUUAUCAAAUAAAAAAUACAAUCUUGAAAUAUAGAAAUCUUUACUCGGGGAGAAGAAUUAUUGAAAAAUAGAAUAAAACAAAGAAAAUAACUGAUGAUAUGGAGCUUUCCACUGAUGAAACCGGAUGGAAUCCCACGGAUAAAAAGAAGAAGAAGUUCGAGAGGAAUUCUUUUUAGAAUUUUGAGGAGAGUACAGAACAAGGAUAGUUACUUUACAAGUGCGAGUUUGUAUGAUAAUUUAGUGGUGCAAAUCUUAUAUUAUUGUUAAAAAUAGAAAUAAUAAUAUAAAGAUAGUUAGAAGAAUGAACUAUUAAUAUACGAAUUUGAACCAAUAUUUAAUCUCAUUAUUCGAAUGAAAAGAUGAUCUAAGUCUAAAUUUCAACCAAAAUUUAGAUAAAAUUACAGGCCUUCACGGUUGAAAAUCUCAUAAGCCCACAAAUAUAACUUAGAAAAAUUUAGAUCUUUAUGCUUUAGUCAACAGUCGAGGAGAUGAGAGCGAGUAAAGUGAGUUGAAUGAUGGAAUGGAUAUGCACAGAGGAUUAGAACAAAAUGUCGCAAAUAUCUUGUUUACAAAACGCCAAAAGCCUAAAUACUUUUAUUCUGCGAAACUAAAGUUGAUGAACGUGCCAGACCUUGUUAGUAGUAGUAAAGUUGGGAGUGUCUAUUAUUUAAAAUUUUAAAUGAUGUAGUUUAUAAUUUAAAAUUUGAGAAAUUUAUUUUUAAUUCAGUGGGAUAUCGAAUAAUCUAAAAAUUAAAGUGUCGUCAUAAAAAAAGAUAAAUAUAUAUAUAAAUUAUAGAAAAAAAAUAACUAGUCUUCUCAAUUUCCAAUUUCUCUCUCAACUUACUACAAACACGUAUGUUUCUUUAUUACAAAAAAUAGUAACAAAAACCCGGUUUUAUUAAAGAAAAAGCCUAUAUUAGAGGUAAAAAGGGUGACAUAAUAGUUCGUGUUUGUAUAGAAAUAAAAUACAGUAAAAUUAAAAAUAGUUAAAAGAAAAAAUUCUUAUUAAAAAAAAUAUUCAAAAUUAUAUAUUUAUCUUUUGCUGGCCAAACAAUAUGCACUCACUUGUCCUUUCCUUUUUUGUCAUAUGCACUGCUCUUUCUUUGUGCAAGGAUAUGGUUAACACAAAAAUAGAAAGAACUCGUCUCAUCAUCACACUUUUUCCUUUGGAAAACUUGAGCUCUUCAGGAUCGUCACCCCAACACAAUAAUAUUAGCUCUUCCUAACAUGUCAUAUUCGUAGCUCAGACUAAUCCACACCCCUGUGUGUUUUAAUCUUGUCAAAAGAUCUUUAUUAAUGAACACAAAUUAUAGUAAUAUUUAUUUAUAGGAAAAUAUUAUUAUGAGUCAUAAAUUUUUCGGGAUGAUCUGAAAAUCAAGUUACUCAAUAGAUAAUCUAGUAUUUUAAUUGCAGUAGAUUGUUUUUAUGAGUUCGGGUCUUGGAGGGAUAUUCUUUCUACGCAUCUGUGAAGCAAUCGAAAAACAGAAACUGGCACAAUUUAUUUAUAUACUCCGGUUUCUUGCAAUAACAGAGUCAUGAAAACCAAACAAAAGAACAUGAAAGCCAAGGAAAGCAACACAAAGAUGAAAGCAAGCAACUAGGAAAGUGGAAAGGAAAACAGAACAAGAUGCAAGAUUAAGAAGGACAUGGAGAUCGAUAUUGGUGCCAUACAAACUGGUUGCGUCUAGAAGCCAAAGGUGUUACAAGAACAAAGCAUUUGUUACUUGUUCUUGAGCACCCCUCUAGUACUCUUUUUUCUUUUUCCUCUUCAUUUUCCGUCCCUUUGAUCUCGAUGUUGUCCUAGAGUAAGUAGGAACUGCCAGGCUGCUAAUAUUACCGAGAAACACCGCCACAAGUAGCUGAUGAUCACACAACACAGGUUUCAUGGAUACACACUUUGUUUACCACAAAUUUAAGCAACUCUAUGAGCUUGGUCACUUAAGAAAGGAUGCUUAAAAUUUCGGUGCCUAUUUGGGUAACAAGACUUCUGUGUUUUGUGUUUUUAUGCUAAGAAGCCGACUUUUAUGUUAAGGCGGCUUCUAUAUUUUUUGAUCCGUUUGUAUAAAAAAUUAAAAAUAUUUAUGAAAAAUCUGAUAAUGCUAACUUUUAUUGCAGAACGUCUACUUAAUUCUCAAACAAUUAAAAACUAAGUUGAUAUAUAAAAAAAAACGUGCAAAACGCCAAAACUAGCAGGAGUACAUGAUUUUUUUGUCCCG